CCUACGGGAGGCUGCAGUGAGGAAUAUUGGUCAAUGGGCGCGAGCCUGAACCAGCCAAGUCGCGUGAGGGAAGACGGUCCUAUGGAUUGUAAACCUCUUUUGUCGGGGAGCAAAAGACGCCACGCGUGGCGUUCCGAGAGUACCCGAAGAAAAAGCAUCGGCUAACUCCGUGCCAGCAGCCGCGGUAAUACGGAGGAUGCGAGCGUUAUCCGGAUUUAUUGGGUUUAAAGGGUGUGCAGGCGGAAGAUCAAGGCAGCGGUAAAAUUGAGAGGCUCAACCUCUUCGAGCCGUUGAAACUGGUGUUCUUGAGUGAGUGAGAAGUAUGCGGAAUGCGUGGUGUAGCGGUGAAAUGCAUAGAUAUCACGCAGAACUCCGAUUGCGAAGGCAGCAUACCGGCGCUCAACUGACGCUCAUGCACGAAAGUGUGGGUAUCGAACAGGAUUAGAUACCCCAGUAGUC
rnacentral:rRNA from 1 species